UACGAAGGGUGCAAACGUUGCUCGGAAUUACUGGGCGUAAAGCGCACGUAGGCGGCUUUCUAAGUCGGGGGUGAAAUCCUGGAGCUCAACUCCAGAACUGCCUUCGAUACUGGAGAGCUUGAGUCCGGGAGAGGUGAGUGGAACUGCGAGUGUAGAGGUGAAAUUCGUAGAUAUUCGCAAGAACACCAGUGGCGAAGGCGGCUCACUGGCCCGGUACUGACGCUGAGGUGCGAAAGCGUGGGGAGCAAACAGG
rnacentral:rRNA from 1 species